rnacentral:ncRNA from 1 species
GAAGAUGUUUGGCAAACUUAUCGAAAGAUAAGGACGCAAAGCCGUGGGUCUAAGGGAGUUUUCCUAUGAUUGCCAGGUUGCCAUU